rnacentral:rRNA from 1 species
UGUUACGACUUCACCCCAGUCAUGAAUCACACCGUGGUAAACGCCCUCCCGAAGGUUAAGCUAUCUACUUCUGGUGCAACCCACUCCCAUGGUGUGACGGGCGGUGUGUACAAGGCCCGGGAACGUAUUCACCGCAACAUUCUGAUUUGCGAUUACUAGCGAUUCCGACUUCAUGGAGUCGAGUUGCAGACUCCAAUCCGGACUACGACGCGCUUUUUGGGAUUCGCUCACUAUCGCUAGCUUGCAGCCCUCUGUACGCGCCAUUGUAGCACGUGUGUAGCCCUGGCCGUAAGGGCCAUGAUGACUUGACGUCACCCCCACCUUCCUCCGGUUUAUCACCGGCAGUCUCCCUUGAGUUCCCACCAUUACGUGCUGGCAACAAAGGACAGGGGUUGCGCUCGUUGC